rnacentral:rRNA from 1 species
AUUGAACGCUGGCGGCAUGCUUUACACAUGCAAGUCGAACGGUAACAGGCCGCAAGGUGCUGACGAGUGGCGAACGGGUGAGUAAUGCAUCGGAACGUGCCCAGUCGUGGGGGAUAACUACUCGAAAGAGUAGCUAAUACCGCAUACGAGCUAUGGAUGAAAGCGGGGGACCGUAAGGCCUCGCGCGAUUGGACCGGCCGAUGUCAGAUUAGGUAGUUGGUGGGGUAAAGGCUCACCAAGCCAACGAUCUGUAGCUGGUCUGAGAGGACGACCAGCCACACUGGGACUGAGACACGGCCCAGACUCCUACGGGAGGCAGCAGUGGGGAAUUUUGGACAAUGGGCGCAAGCCUGAUCCAGCAAUGCCGCGUGCAGGAAGAAGGCCUUCGGGUUGUAAACUGCUUUUGUACGGAACGAAACGGCUCUGGUUAAUACCCGGGGCUAAUGACGGUACCGUAAGAAUAAGCACCGGCUAACUACGUG